rnacentral:rRNA from 1 species
GACGAACGCUGGCGGCGUGCCUAACACAUGCAAGUCGAGCGAUGAAUUGCUUCUUCGGAAGCGACGAUUAGCGGCGGACGGGUGAGUAACACGUGGGUAACCUGCCUCAAAGAGGGGAAUAGCCUCCCGAAAGGGAGAUUAAUACCGCAUAAUAUGUUUUGGUCGCAUGAUCUUAAUAUUAAAGGAUCUUUCUUCGUAAGAAGAAACUUCCGCUUUGAGAUGGACCCGCGGCGCAUUAGCCUAGUUGGUGAGGUAACGGCUCACCAAGGCGACGAUGCGUAGCCGACCUGAGAGGGUGGAUCGGCCACAUUGGAACUGAGACACGGUCCAGACUCCUACGGGAGGCUG